rnacentral:lncRNA from 1 species
CACCACCACCACCACGGCCUUGCCCCGUCUCCUCCUAUCCCCACCAGGGCCUCGCCCCGCCGCCCUUAUCCCCAGCACGGCCUCGCCCCGCUCCCUUCUCUCACCACCGCGGCCUUGCCACGCCGCCAACCCCGCGGAUCUUCCCUAGAUCGACUCUGCCGCCUCCAUCCUACUGCCCCAGAGGAGGUCGAGAUGCGGAGCAGGCAUAUCGAAUUGGAUUGAGAUCGAGUGCGUCGACGUGCCCAUCGUAAUCAUCGCCCCCCGUGCUUGGCUCAAACAGUCGCUCUGGGAAGGAGUUCGCAGCUCGCGUACGUGCUCUACAGGAUCAGCCUGAUCUCUAUGUCGCCGCUGUUGCCAGAAUCUAUCCUCAAGUAGGCUUUGACUCCAUUCCUCUGUUUAUCAUGUAGAUUCAGUUUGUACACUUAGUAGAACACACUUCCUGACCAAAUGAUGGACAAUAACUCUUCAGGUCUCACAAAGCGGUUGCUUCAUAGUUCCCACUAUUUAUAUCACAGCCAUAGGUAAUGCUAAUAGCAAUUUCAGUGUGUGUUCUUGAUCUCUUUAAGUGUGUAGAAUGAUAUUUUUACAUUGCUUCUUCCAAUUGCAGAAUGGUACAAAUGGAGAAGUAAGAAAAUAAGGCUUGGAGUUAUACCCAAAUAACAUUUAUGUAGGUGUGGAGAGAAACACUUGCUCUAUGCUCAUUGCCUAAUAGUAUAACAGAACACACUCUGAUUCUCCUGUAAUAUUGCUAGCAUAGCUGAUACUACAAGUUAAUGCGUGACUGCUUACUCUAAGUAGGCAUAUGACUGCAUAAAAAAAAGAUUGAAAACCGUAAAGCAUUUUUUAUAUGCAGCCCAAUGAAUUGUAUCGCCUUGAGCUCCAUUAUUUAGGCCAGAUCUCAUGAGAGGUGUUGUUUCAAUUGCAUUGGCAUACAAUAAGGUAAAGAAUUGCAUUGGGAUACCAAAUCUCUUGAUCAAAUGUGCUUCAGGAAUGCUAUGCAGUGAUAAAAUAAACAUAAUAGCAUACCAAAUGUGCCCUGUUAAGCAUAAAUGCUCUGAGUUAUAUUAAGAGGCGUACCCAUCCAUCUGAAGACUGCUCUUAAUAUAUUCUUCUCUUUUCCAUGUUGUAACAUCUAGAUCAGUCCACUUAUCGGAUUUUAAUUCCAUGUGCUUGGAUGCAUAUUUGAAUAAAUCCUCCAGCCCUUCUAGCUAUUGUACCAACAAAUGGAUAAAGUAUAAGCAUCACAAGCGAGAAAUAAGAAAAAAAACUUCUUCGAAAAGAUGGGGCAGUAGGCCUAAGUACUAACUGUAUCAGUGAGGUCCUUGCGGCUCAUGUAUGGGCCUAGCGAGUCGAGCACUUGAACACAUGUUUUCUGGCAUUUAUAACACAUAGGUACCAGUGAACGCCGUCCAUGUUUAUUGGAAUGUAUAUCUGAAGAAAAUGAUUAUUUCAGUUGUACUCGUAUGUGGACGAAUCGGUCGUUCUCGCUGUAAUUCAUAGAAAUAUGUAGGAAAGUAAGACUAACCAUAUCAUUUUCCAGAUAUGCUUUGGCUCUGUUUAAUACCCAUGCUGGUGCAGCAUCCAUGUCAUCUGAGGGCAGAUAGCUACCGAUCUUCAUCAUCUUAGAGAUGCAUGCAUUCUCUAAGAACACACUUCCACCUGACCUUACUUGUAGAUGCUCCGUAGCAAACAUGCAAUUUAUGUACAUAUUUAUGACCUACAAUUAAAAGUAUACAUAGUAUAUUAGAUGACACAUACUCCUAUUCAAAUAGCAUCUUCCUGUCCUAAUAUACUUACUUCGUCGCCAACCCAUUCUCCGGGAGAUAGAAGAGACAGUAAAUGUCUUCUUUUCAGAAAUGCGUUGCCGAUGCUCACUAAAUUUCUUUCUUUGCUUGGUUCAGAUCUGAUUUUUUCUUUAACGGACCAAUCAUCGCCAGUGCAGGCAUAAUCUGUCACGAUGGCUAUGAUAACAUUUAAUGAUAAUGAACACAAAAACAAUAAUGUAGCAUUACAAGGACACUGAAGGUUUUGUUCUGUGCCUUGUGGAGAAACAACAUAGUCUUGUGCCUUCUUAGGUUUCCCUCUGCCGCUUAAGUGCUUGUUUUGCUUCUGUACAAUAAGUGUUAAUUUGGUACAAGACAACAUGAGCAACAAUUGUUUUUACUCUGUAUGGUAGUUAAUAUGAGCGGCAAUUGAUUACCAUAUGAACUGCUGCCUCUGUAGGAUUGAAGUGGCGGUGGUAACACAGUCAGUUGGGAGGACCCAAUGGCAGAGUCGAUAUUAUUGACAUUUUCCUUGUUAGAAAUGGCGGCAUCUGGUGUUCUUAAUGAAUUUGGACCAUGAGGUGGAGUCUGAUCACUCAUUAUCACAUCAACAGGUAUGCCUGCAUCAUAAUUGUAUGUACAAUGUCAGUUGUUGACACACAAACGCCGAUAUUAUGGUUGGAUGUAGGAGAACACAUGACCUUCCGCAGCUUGUGUGUGUCGUUGUUGGGUGACAGCAGACUGCGCACUAGGCCUCUCCAAAGUGUCAAAACCUGUCCAAAAGAACAGUUAAUUAACAUGAAUUUACUUGUGAUUCAUGAAAUGUAUGGUUAAAAACAGAGAAAAUGGAGUAACCAAUCGACAUGGCCCCAUGUGGCUUAGAUGGAGUGUUGAUUCCAUUUAGAAUAGCAGCCGUAGCUUUCUUACGAUCCCUUGCCUCCUGUCUUUUCUUUAAUAUUGCAUCCCUGUUUAGUGCAUACCUCUCCCUUUCCCUCUGUCUCUUCAGCUCUUUUGGAUCUGGUUUUUGACCUAUGAGACAAUGGCAUAUUUUGGAUUUACAAGAUCAAAGUAGGUAAGAGUAGGUGAUAUAUGUAUUUACCUGAAUUGUUGUUGUUUGUCAGGUCCUGAAAGGGAGUACUUAUCCCACUACGCUGAGAGGAUGCCAUAUUGUAUUCUCAAUGGUUCUUUUUGUGAAAACACUUAUUUAACCCUUCGUCAACUCAGUUUGUUCAUGAUAUACUAUAAGUAUCAAUUUUCACAGUACAAAUUACUGACUGCCAGAUUGAAAGAGCAAUUUCCUUUGUCUUUUGUCGGAUCAUAAGACAUGCAAAUUAAAUUGAUCUAACCUGUGGCACUGGCAUGUCAAG